UGUGGGAGCGGGCUUGCUCGCGAAGGCGGUGGAUCAGUCAGUAUCAAUGUGUCUGACCGACCGCAUUCGCGAGCAAGCCCGCUCCCACA
rnacentral:misc_RNA from 1 species